rnacentral:rRNA from 1 species
GAUGAACGCUAGCGGGAGGCUUAACACAUGCAAGUCGAGGGGUAACAUGGAGUAGCAAUACUUUGAUGACGACCGGCGUACGGGUGAGUAACGCGUAUGCAACCUACCCUGUACAGGGGGAUAGCCCGGAGAAAUUCGGAUUAAUACCCCAUAAAGAUAUUUGGAGGCAUCUUUGAAUAUUUAAAGUUUCGGCGGUACGGGAUGGGCAUGCGUAACGUUAGCUAGUUGGUAGGGUAACGGCCUACCAAGGCGACGAUGUUUAGGGGUCCUGAGAGGGUGAUCCCCCACACUGGUACUGAGACACGGACCAGACUCCUACGGGAGGCAGCAGUGAGGAAUAUUGGUCAAUGGGCGCAAGCCUGAACCAGCCAUCCCGCGUGAAGGAAGAAGGCGCUAUGCGUCGUAAACUUCUUUUCCAGAGGAAGAAAACCCGCUACGAGUAGUGGUUUGCCGGUACUCUGGGAAUAAGCAUCGGCUAACUCCGUG